rnacentral:lncRNA from 7 species
AAUUAACAAAUUAGAACAUGAGUGACUGAUGUAGAAAUAAUAGUUAUACCUACUUUCCUUCUCUGAAAGGGCUCAGUUUGUAACAAAAGUGCAUGCACUUUAAAAGUGCACUGAAGGUGUUAGCUCGGUGAUCCUUACUACAUCUCUACAUGGUAGCAAUUUCUCUCUGUUUACUCAUUUUGCACAGUAAGAGAGAGAUUUAAUUUUUGUCAUCUCAUGGCCUCGCACAGGAUGAGGUUACAGAUCCUGGAUCGCUUUAAAAUGGAAAAGCCUCAAGCAGCGUUCAGCAACGUUCUCUCUCUUUUAUUAUUUACUGGAAUGGUCACUGUGAGAUCACUGCCUUUGAAGAAGAGUUAGGACAAAUCAUGAGGUAAAAUGACUAAGGCAAUCAAGUGAGCUGGAGUUUGUCAGCAAAACUGCAAGCAGGAUCCAGAGAAAAUCCUGCUUUAAAACCAAAGGAAAUCCAGAUUAAACAGGAGAAUGUGGAGGAAGCACAAUGACAGCACAUGAAAUGUUAGAGAAGAGUGCUGAAGACCCUGCAAUCACUCUGGAAGAGACUUCCGUAUCUGCUUCUGCAGACUGUCUGGGACCGUUAAAUGACCAAAUAUUUAUCUGUGGUUGAAAAAAUGACAUAUUUCUUCUUGUUUGCUAUCUGACCAUGUUGUUUGUACAAGCACCCUCAGAGGUGUGCAGAAGUAUACAUACAGCUGCAAGGAUAUCACUGAAAGUGUUUUGCUCAUGAUUGCAGCUGGAAAGAAGCACUAGUGUCUGCAAGAUAAAGAGAGCAAUCAAGUUCCACUUCUAGGUCCUAGGAUGAAAAAAAAAAAGGCUCCUUCAAAGAGGAAGCCUAUAACUGAUAUACCACUCUGUCUACUGAGCAUGACAGUGAAAAAGAAAGUAUUUCAUUGCACCAAGAAGAGGACAACUCCUUCUGAAACUGUUAUCCUCAGAUGGGAACUACUGUGCAAAAAUUCAUCACAUUAUUUGAAAACGAGUAACUUGCACAAGUGUAUGCCCUGAAGCAAAACAUGAAUAUAUGUAUGCUACACAUAAUUGGCAUGGUAAUGUUAUCCACUGAAAUAUCUAGGUCUCUACAUCAAGCUAAACAUCACAGAGCUAUAAUAAACAAGUAAAUAAAGAAGUGGUGAUUAGCAAACUGGAUUUAUGUUCUUAAGUACCUGAUGUGCUGUAAGUCAGUUCAUACUCACAUCCUAAAGCAGUUUGUGAAAUGUAUAUCUAUUUAAAUGACAUUUACAAAACCUGUUUAUGUUUCAACAUGAUAAAUUCAUCUUCAAUUACUUGGAAAAAUAGGGCGAGUAUUUAUAACCUGUUGUUCUUUUUUCAUAAAAGAAAAACCCAUGCCCAGGCAUUCCUAGUAAUUCUUACUUACAGUAUGACAUCCACAGUGUUCAUCAGAGUACAGUGCAGUGCUGUGCACCUGUAGGAAUUGUUGCUUAAUUUCACAGCUUAGGUGCCCAAAUUAAAUUGCACUGAUUACCUCUUCGACUCCUAUAUUAAAAAUUACCUUUGGUGGUUUUAAUAUAGAUACUCAGGAAGGUUUAAAUUUUAAAUGGAUGACCACGGGUUAAGCUUUAUUCCCUGUCUUAUUAGGAAUUAUACUAAAAAAGCUCUAACAGACUCCCUGUGUAUUUGCAAAAAUCUUUCUGGUGACACCUUAUGACAUCUUGUCAAAAUCCUCACUUUAUUCUUGGUAGUUUUACAUUAAGUUGCUGCCUGCUGGAAAUAAGUUUUAUCACAGCAGGAGCCUAAACCAACAUUUAUUUCAGAAAUCCCAAGAAAACAUUCAGAACUAUCACAGUUAUAGAAAUAUGUACCCCACAUCUUCUGUGGGUGGAUAGAUACAUGCCUGCAUCCGGAAGGCUGGAAACAGGUUUCAGCCCCUGACUGCGGAUGGCUCUGCUCAGAAAGUUCAACUACAACAGUCUGCAGCCAUCUGCUUGUUGCAAUCAGAUCCACUUCAAAGUGUCACAAUCUGACCUUUGUUAUGGCAACAAUAACUUGCAACGGAUGCUCAAGCCAGCUGGUCUGCAGAGAUCCUAGAUCGCCUCAGUGAGUUUAGAAUGACCUUUUGCAGUGCAGACACCAGAAGUCAAAGAGGUGAGCUAUCAUGUUAUCACAGAGAUCUCAGCAUGCUCUAAGGAGCUUUUUUCAGCCUAGGACUGAAAAAAGGGACUCCCUUUAGUGAAUCCUUGAGUCAGCUUUUUACUUCUGUGGUAGAGCCCAAAUGCAUUCUCCUUUCUCAGUUUAUACUUCACAUUUAAUAGAAAUUGUUUUUAUAACAAACAUUUAUGUAAAACCUCUCCAAUAAACUAGGUAGGGCUUCCUGUUAUUCUUUCACUGCUGCUUAGAUUUGUGGUGCUACUCUGAGGUGUUUGUAUUAUUGCUGUAAAGAAGUAGUAAAACAAACUAU